rnacentral:hammerhead_ribozyme from 1 species
AUCUAGCUGAUGAGUCUCAAAUAGGACGAAACUCUCUUCCUGAAU